rnacentral:rRNA from 1 species
UACGUAGGGUGCAAGCGUUAAUCGGAAUUACUGGGCGUAAAGCGUGCGCAGGCGGCUUUGCAAGACAGAUGUGAAAUCCCCGGGCUUAACCUGGGAACUGCAUUUGUGACUGCAUGGCUGGAGUGCGGCAGAGGGGGAUGGAAUUCCGCGUGUAGCAGUGAGAUGCGUAGAUAUGUGGAGGAAUACCGAUGGCGAAGGCAGCCCCCUGGGCCAAUACUGACGCUCAUGCACGAAAGCGUGGGGAGCAAACAGG